rnacentral:rRNA from 1 species
GACGAACGCUGGCGGCGUGCUUAACACAUGCAAGUCGAACGGAAAGGCCCUGCUUUUGUGGGGUGCUCGAGUGGCGAACGGGUGAGUAACACGUGAGUAACCUGCCCUUGACUUUGGGAUAACUUCAGGAAACUGGGGCUAAUACCGGAUAGGAGCUCCUGCUGCAUGGUGGGGGUUGGAAAGUUUCGGCGGUUGGGGAUGGACUCGCGGCUUAUCAGCUUGUUGGUGGGGUAGUGGCUUACCAAGGCUUUGACGGGUAGCCGGCCUGAGAGGGUGACCGGCCACAUUGGGACUGAGAUACGGCCCAGACUCCUACGGGAGGCAGCAGUGGGGAAUAUUGCACAAUGGGCGGAAGCCUGAUGCAGCAACACCGCGUGCGGGAUGACGGCCUUCGGGUUGUAAACCGCUUUCGCCUGUGACGAAGCGUGAGUGACGGUAAUGGGUAAAGAAGCACCGGCUAACUACGUGCCAGCAGCCGCGGUGAUACGUAGGGUGCGAGCGUUGUCCGGAUUUAUUGGGCGCAAAGGGCUCGUAGGUGGUUGAUCGCGUCGGAAGUGUAAUCUUGGGGCUUAACCCUGAGCGUGCUUUCGAUACGGGUUGACUUGAGGAAGGUAGGGGAGAAUGGAAUUCCUGGUGGAGCGGUGGAAUGCGCAGAUAUCAGGAGGAACACCAGUGGCGAAGGCGGUUCUCUGGGCCCUUCCUGACGCUGAGGAGCGAAAGCGUGGGGAGCGAACAGGCUUAGAUACCCUGGUAGUCUACGCUGUAAACGGUGGGUACUAGGUGUGGGGUCCAUUCCACGGGUUCCGUGCCGUAGCUAACGCUUUAAGUACCCCGCCUGGGGAGUACGGCCGCAAGGCUAAAACUCAAAGGAAUUGACGGGGCCCCGCACAAGCGGCGGAGCAUGCGGAUUAAUUCGAUGCAACGCGUAGAACCUUACCUGGGUUUGACAUGGAUCGGGAGCGCUCAGAGAUGGGUGUGCCUCUUUUGGGGUCGGUUCACAGGUGGUGCAUGGCUGUCGUCAGCUCGUGUCGUGAGAUGUUGGGUUAAGUCCCGCAACGAGCGCAACCCUUGUUCACUGUUGCCAGCACGUUAUGGUGGGGACUCAGUGGAGACCGCCGGGGUCAACUCGGAGGAAGGUGGGGAUGACGUCAAGUCAUCAUGCCCCUUAUGUCCAGGGCUUCACGCAUGCUACAAUGGCUGGUACAGAGAGUGGCGAGCCUGUGAGGGUGAGCGAAUCUCGGAAAGCCGGUCUCAGUUCGGAUUGGGGUCUGCAACUCGACCUCAUGAAGUCGGAGUCGCUAGUAAUCGCAGAUCAGCAACGCUGCGGUGAAUACGUUCCCGGGGCU